UUUCCGUAGGUGAACCUGCGGAAGGAUCAUUAUGAGAGAGAGAGAGAGAGAGGGUAGUUUUAUAAACUGGUUGGAAGGGGAUGUUUAUUGCAAAGAGUACAGCAUAGCAAAACAAUCCAAUACACACCAGACCCAAGAUUACAAAUUAACACCAACCCUAAUUACAGAAGCACCUUGCUGCAAUGGAUCUCUCGGCUCUU
rnacentral:misc_RNA from 1 species